rnacentral:rRNA from 1 species
UGGUGGAGUGAUUUGUCUGGUUGAUUCCGUUAACGAACGAGAUCUUGACCCAUCAAUGACAGUGAGAACGAUUGUAGUUCAGAUCUCAGACACUUGUGUUUCGAGUUUGGGCGAGUUCUUAUCAGUGUACUCAUGGGGACGAUGCAUGUUAACAAUGCAUGGAAGUGCGAGCCAAUAGCA